AUGGCCUUGCUCGGCCACUACAUCAGAUUCAGAAGCGGUACACCGGGGCGCUGCACAGACGUGGCGCUGGAAACAGUGUUGCGUCUCAAGCCGGCAAAGCGCUGGAGUGACAAGAUCGGACAGAACUCUGUGCUGGAGCCUCGCCGUUUCGGCAAGCGGUCGGGGCUUUUCUCGGAGAAGCUAUACGGGCGCGCAGGGCUGAUCAAGUCGGUGGAAGUCUCGCCGGCCGUGAAGGAUGCGGUGCUGAAGUCCUUGAAGAGCAGCUAUGGGGGACUGGACAAAGGAAGCGCGGCGGCGGCGCAGCGGGUGGGCCUCGGCGGCAAGGUCGACAGCUGGGCGUGGCCGGCCAUCGGCGCCGGAAGCGGCACCAGCAGCACCACGGAGCAUAUCCUUGCUUGUCACAUCGGCACAAGGCUCUUCGAGAUCAAGUACUCACACGGCGCGUGCCCGACGUCGGGGGCGGCCGACAUGACAGCCGCCUGCCAUUUGUCCUACUACUGCGCGUACCUGGUGGCGGCCGCGCCGGGGCUGCUGCCGGACAGUCCGGCGUGGACCGACAAGCGGUACAAGGAAGUGGUGAAGGACGUGAAGGCGGCACUGGGAAAGGACGACGACGGCGCCAGCGAGUCGACGGCGCAAAGGUACGAGCAGCUAUGCAAGGAGCUGAGCAAGACCAGCAGGGACGAGGUGCUGCAGCGCGGCGCCGAGCUUGGGAGACGCCUGGUGGAGACGUACGCCGAGGACGAGGCGGCGGCGUGGCGGUUCCUGGCGGAUUUCUGGUCGGAGAUGGUGCUCUUCGUCGCACCGUCGAAGAACGUCAAGGGCCACGUCGAGGCCAUGGGGCGCGGCGGGGAGUUCGUCACGCUCGUGUGGGCGCUGCUCCUGCACGCCGGCGUCACGGACAGGCCUGGAACACGUGACGGUAGUGGAGUCCCUUAA
rnacentral:rRNA from 1 species